rnacentral:sRNA from 1 species
AGCGGAUUCAAACUCACCCCC